CGCAGCCGCGGUAAUUCCAGCUCCAAUAGCGUAUAUUAAAGUUGUUGCAGUUAAAAAGCUCGUAGUUGAAUUUCGGGAUUGACGUGACGGUCAUGCCUUAAGGGGUAUGAACUGUUACAGUUGAUUUCUCACCUUCUGGAGAAACUUGAUGUCCUUUAUUGGGUGUCUUGCGGAUCCAGGACCUUUACCUUGAAAAAUUAGAGUGUUUAAAGCAGGCAUUUUUGCUCGAAUACAUUAGCAUGGAAUAAUAGAAUAGGACGGCAUGGUUCUAUUUUGUUGGUUUCUAGGAUCACCGUAAUGAUUAAUAGGGAUAGUUGGGGGCAUUAGUAUUCAAUUGUCAGAGGUGAAAUUCUUGGAUUUAUUGAAGACUAACUACUGCGAAAGCAUUUG
rnacentral:rRNA from 1 species